UGGGGAAUAUUGGGCAAUGGGCGCAAGCCUGACCCAGCAACGCCGCGUGAAGGAUGAAGGUCUUCGGAUUGUAAACUUUUGUCUUCAGGGACGAUAAUGACGGUACCUGAGGAGGAAGCCACGGCUAACUACGUGCCAGCAGCCGCGGUAAUACGUAGGUGGCAAGCGUUAUCCGGAUUUACUGGGUGUAAAGGGCGUGUAGGCGGGAUGGUAGGUCAGAUGUGAAAUACCGCAGCUUAACUGCGGGGCUGCAUUUGAAACCCCCAUUCUUGAGUGUUGGAGAGGUAAGUGGAAUUCCUAGUGUAGCGGUGAAAUGCGUAGAUAUUAGGAGGAACACCAGUGGCGAAGGCGACUUACUGGACAAUAACUGACGCUGAGGCGCGAAAGCGUGGGGAGCAAACAGG
rnacentral:rRNA from 2 species